rnacentral:sRNA from 1 species
GCCAGGUGUGGUGGUGCACGCCUGUAAUCCCAGCAGCUCAGGAGGCUGAGGCAGGAGGAUCAGGAGUUCAAAGCCAGUCUCAGCAAUUUUGUGAGGCCCUAAGAAACUCAGUGAGACCCUGUCUCAA